rnacentral:lncRNA from 1 species
GUACAUUCUUCACAAGAUUAGAGUAUAAAAGUUGUUUAGAGAAAUGACUGUCUACUUCUGUACGACAAAGUAUGUUGUAGAGGAACUUUAGCCUUUUUCCUUUAGACGAAGCUGGGAUAAUACAGAUAACAACAUGCAAACAAGAUAUUUAGAUCUGUAUGAAAACAAUCCGAAUUGAUAGAUCUUAUUUGGAUGAGGAUAGCAAUAAUCAGGAAUAAAGUUAGCAAAUAUGGAAUUGGAUAGGGGGACUAUUUGUGCAUCUGAAAAUAAAGGUUAUGAGAUAUAUUACACUAGGAAACUACAUGCAGUGAAAACAAAUGCAAAAACCUCUCAAAAGCAAUUUGCCAAAGGUAGAUAACUUAAACUUAGAAUAGAAAAUACUCAGAAUGUGAUAAAAGUGGUCUAGGAGCCUCAGCUUCCUUUCUUUGGUGCUGCCAGAUUAUACUAAGAAUAGUUAGAGGAUCAUUUUUAAGA